GGCCGUGCGGGGCCGGAGCCCGGCCGGCUCCCCGCGGGGCUCGGGCAGGGCUCCCCUGCGCUGUCCCCGCGCCCAUCGCGGGUCCCGUCACGGUGGGUGGGUGCCCGGCCCCGCACUCCCCGCUGAAAGCUGCCGUCGUGCCAGCGCUGCCGCGAUGUGCCCGGGUGCGGAGGGCAGCCCGUAAUCGGUCGGUGACCCACUGCAGUUCACUAAAGUGUUACAGCAAACAGGAGGUGUUUUCCUGCCGUUCCAGCAGCUGAAUGGCGAGUUGGCCCCCAGCGCAGCCAGCAUCGGGAAUUCUGGUGGCAGGGGUUGGUGUGGAGCAUCUCUCCUCCGUGCUGGACGCUCAGGGCACAGCCACCCGCUCUUGCUGCAAGGCGCCUUCAGCUGCUGGGACACCGCCAAAGACAUGGACACGGGCACCGCGACAUUCCCGUGUCUCCUUUUUCGACAAAAUCGGGACCAUCCCCAGCUGGCAGCUACUGUAACCUCGGACCAAUGCGCUGACUCUUCUUCCUGUAGCAGACAUCUCAGGCUAAGCCCGAACAAGCUGCCUUUGCAAGGGAUUCCAGAAGCUGAUAAAGGUGUGAAGCCGAAGGAAGGAGGCUCCUGCAGUAGCCAAGAAAGGGGAAAGGUCUCUGGCAGUGGUGGCUCCAGGAAGGCAGAACAACUUUAUUACAGGCUUUUUUGAGAUUGCUGUAAACAAUUCACCUGUGUCCUAAAAGUGGCUGGGAGUGGCAGCACGUCCAUGCUGAGCUGUGUGAAACGGCCCCUGCCCAGGCACGUAUCACUGCCAGCAGGUUACAGGCACAGGCACAAGCAGUUUUCCUUGGAAUUACAGCUUCUCACUGCUGCAAGCUCUGCUGCCUGAAAUGUGGAAGAAGAUGAAGAUCAGCUGAACAGGGGAGUCUCCAGGAAGACAAACAAACAAACACAACCCUCGUUCACAUCCUCACAAUCAGAAAAAUAUUCCUUAAGAGUGACCCAGGAAGAAGAAGUUGAGUUUGAAUAAAAUAUUUGCCUGUUCUUAAUA